CCGCUACGAUCGAUCCCUGGGCUGAGAGGAUGAUCAGUCACACUGGAACUGAGACACGGUCCAGACUCCUACGGGAGGCAGCAGUGGGGAAUAUUGGACAAUGGGCGAAAGNCUGAUNCAGCCAUGCCGCGUGUGUGAAGAAGGCCUUCGGGUUGUAAAGCACUUUCAGNCGAGGAAGAANCGCCUUGGGANUUAAUACNUCCCGAGNGNAAAGACAUCACUCGNCAGAAGAAGCACCGGCUAACUCCGUGCCAGCAGCCGCGGUAAUACGGAGGGUGCAAGCGUUAAUCGGAAUUACUGGGCGUAAAGCGCGCGUAGGUGGCUAAGNUCAGCCAGNGUGUGAAAGCCCCGGGCUCAACCUGGGAACGGCAUCUGGAACUNGCUUGGCUAGAGUGCANGGNAGANGGAAGGUAGAAUUCCCGGUGUAGCGGUGAAAUGCGUAGAGAUCGGGAGGAAUACCAGUGGCGAAGGCGGCCUNUCUGGACUGACACUGACACUGAGGUGCGAAAGCGUGUGGUAGCAAACAGGAUUAGAUACCCUGGUAGNUCCACGCCGUAAACGAUGUCAACUAGCCGUUGGGUCCCUUGAGGACUUAGUGGCGCAGCUAACGCAAUAAGUUGACCGCCUGGGGAGUACGGCCGCAAGGUUAAAACUCAAAUGAAUUGACGGGGGCCCGCACAAGCGGUGGAGCAUGUGGUUUAAUUCGAUGCAACGCGAAGAACCUUACCUACCCUUGACAUCCAGAGGACUUUCCAGAGAUGGAUUGGUGCCUUCGGGAACUCUGAGACAGGUGCUGCAUGGCUGUCGUCAGCUCGUGUUGUGAAAUGUUGGGUUAAGUCCCGUAACGAGCGCAACCCCUAUCCUUAUUUGCCAGCGAGUAAUGUCGGGAACUCUAAGGAG
rnacentral:rRNA from 1 species